rnacentral:misc_RNA from 1 species
AAGUCGUAACAAGGUUUCCGUAGGUGAACCUGCGGAAGGAUCAUUAACACGUAUCCAACGUUAAACCCCCCAUGAACCUUCAGAGCGUUCUUGCCGCCCGUGACAAUCAGCAAUCCUGGUAAAUCAAGUGGGAAUAUCCGUUAUUGAUUCAGGACCUCUGCUGUCAUGUGUUAGGGAAACCAUAGCGGCAAUUGAGAGCUUUUAUCGUUAGUUUGGCGUCCUGGCCGGGCGAGUGAAAGUGUCGCUAGACGGUUUCUAGGGUAAGGCUUCGCCAUCGCUGGAGGCUCACCACGUAGCCGGCGGACAAACUACAGGGCUAUAUGCCCCCUAAUGACGACCAAGUUAAAUAGGGCCUCUGUCACAUAGCAAGUGCGCCGUGCCAGAGGAAAAGUACAACUGUUAACAAUGGAUAUCUUGGUUCUC